UACGGGGGGAGCAAGCGUUGUUCGGAUUUACUGGGCGUAAAGCGCACGUAGGCGGAUUGUUAAGUGAGGGGUGAAAUCCCAGGGCUCAACCCUGGAACUGCCUUUCAUACUGGCAAUCUAGAGUUCGAGAGAGGUGAGUGGAAUUCCGAGUGUAGAGGUGAAAUUCGUAGAUAUUCGGAGGAACACCAGUGGCGAAGGCGGCUCACUGGCUCGAUACUGACGCUGAGGUGCGAAAGCGUGGGGAGCAAACAGG
rnacentral:rRNA from 1 species